rfam:Schistosoma haematobium scaffold1749_15, whole genome shotgun sequence.
AUCCAGCUGACGAGUCCUAAGUGGGACGAAACGCGCGUCAAACUGGAU